rnacentral:rRNA from 1 species
AGGGUACCACCAGGAGUGGAGCCUGCGGCUUAAUUCGACUCAACACGGGAAAACUCACCCGGUCCGGACACUUUAAGGAUUGACAGAUUGAAAGCUCUUUCUUGAUUAAGUGGGUGGCGGUGCAUGGCCGAUUAAGCUUAUGGUGUGGGCUUGGAAUAAGCGAGACUCGUGCCUCUAAAUAGAAUCCUGAUCUAGAAUAACAGUAUUCUUUUUAAAGGGAUCGGCGGUAUGUCCUAACCGCAUGAGAACGAGCGAAAUCAGGUCUGUGAUGCCCUUAGAUGUCCGGGGCAGCACGCGUGCUACAAUGGAUGAGUCAUACCGUGCCAUGUCCGAGAGGACUUGGGAAUCGGUGAAAUUCCUCCAUGAUUGGGAUCGGGGUUUGGAAUUGUCCCCCGUGAACGAGGAAUUCCUAGUAGGUGCUAGUCACCAACUAGCGUCGAAUAAGUCACUGCCCUUUGUACACACCGCCCGUCGCUACCGCCGAUUGAAUGAUUUAGUGAGGUCUUCGGACUGGCGGUC